rnacentral:lncRNA from 1 species
UAAAUUUAAGCUACUAAAAUAAUGUCACAAAAAUUUCUUGUUUGUUCCAUCAGAAAUGAUUUUAAUUUCUUUUUAAAUAGAAGAACAUUCUUAGUAUUUUUGAUAUCACUGGGGAUAUGAUUAUAUAUUUUUGGGGCUAGAAAUAGAAAACUUCUUUGACAGAAGGACUUUGUCAUUUUCGGAAUCAUAUAGAGGUGUUUGCCUCUUGUAUCAUGCUCAUGUGAUGGUAAAUUGUUGUCUGUUUUCAUGGUGUGAUAUUUUAAAGACACACAAAGAAAGUAUAACUGUUUCAAGUCAAAUAUAUUACUAUCCUUAUAUAAUCUAUCUGUAGAGUAGGUGUAUGGUUU